AGUCGACCGAUGACUGAUCACGAAUAAUUCCAAUGAUCUUAGCUCAAUGUAAUCAUCGUGCUCGACUGGCUUGCUGUUGACAAUGUCGUUUGUCGCUGAUAUCUGAACGGCAGGUGCAAACAGACGCAUUGCUGGAAUUGCCUUUUAAUUGUCUCCUCGCCUCGCCACGCGGUUCCUGAUGGCCUAAGCUUCUGGAGAAUCGGCCGGAAUGAUGAUUCUCUCCAGCGGCAGCAGAAUGGGAAGCUGCGGAUCAACAGGCUUUGGUUAAUCUCCCGGAGCUCUUGGCGAAGGCUUUUCAUCUGAUUUGUGCCUGUCAGCUUGUGUCAAGGCGAUUGAGUGUCGUCGCAGCCCAAGGAAAUAAAUACGAGCCUAAGUGACGAGUGGUAAGGGCGAAGAUUUCCAUACACUACUUCAAGAAUAUAAUAAAAAAAAUAUAAAUAAAAUAAGAAGAGACUAAAAAAAAGCACAUAGAAAUGUGUACAAAAGUA